GACGAACGCUGGCGGCGUGCUUAACACAUGCAAGUCGAACGGUGAAGCGCCUUCCUUUUUGGUGGGUGUGGAUGAGUGGCGAACGGGUGAGUAACACGUGAGUAACCUGCCCCCUUCUUCUGGAUAACCGCAUGAAAGUGUGGCUAAUACGGGAUAUUCUGGGUCUGUCGCAUGAUGGGUCUGGGAAAGAUAUUGUUUCGGUGGGGGAUGGGCUCGCGGCCUAUCAGCUUGUUGGUGGGGUGAUGGCCUACCAAGGCGGUGACGGGUAGCCGGCCUGAGAGGGUGGACGGUCGCACUGGGACUGAGGCACGGCCCAGACUCGUACGGGAGGCAGCAGUGGGGAAUAUUGCAGAAUGGGCGCUAGCCUGAUGCAGCGACGCCGCGUGAGGGAUGGAGGCCUUCGGGUUGUGAACCUCUUUCGCAAGUGAAGCAGGCCUGCCUCGUUUGUGGGUGGGUUGACGGUAGCUGGAUAAGAAGCGCCGGCUAACUACG
rnacentral:rRNA from 1 species